UACGGAGGGUGCGAGCGUUGUCCGGAAUCACUGGGCGUAAAGGGCGCGUAGGCGGCCGUGUAAGUCACUUGUGAAAUCCCGGGGCUCAACUCCGGGGCUGCAGGUGAGACUGCGUGGCUAGAGCACGGUAGAGGCGAGUGGAAUUCCCGGUGUAGCGGUGGAAUUCGUAGAUAUUCGCAAGAACACCAGUGGCGAAGGCGGCUCACUGGCCCGAUACUGAC
rnacentral:rRNA from 1 species